GACGAACGCUGGCGGCGUGCUUAACACAUGCAAGUCGAACGGAAAGGCCCUGCUUUUGUGGGGUGCUCGAGUGGCGAACGGGUGAGUAACACGUGAGUAACCUGCCCUUGACUUUGGGAUAACUUCAGGAAACUGGGGCUAAUACCGGAUAGGAGCUCCUGCUGCAUGGUGGGGGUUGGAAAGUUUCGGCGGUUGGGGAUGGACUCGCGGCUUAUCAGCUUGUCGGUGGGGUAGUGGCUUACCAAGGCUUUGACGGGUAGCCGGCCUGAGCGGGUGACCGGCCACAUUGGGACUGAGAUACGGCCCAGACUCCUACGGGAGGCAGCAGUGGGGAAUAGUGCACAAUGGGCGGAAGCCUGAUGCAGCAGCGCCGCGUGCGGGAUGACGGCCUUCGGGUUGUAAACCGCUUUCGCCUGUGACGAAGCGUGAGUGACGGUAAUGGGUAAAGAAGCACCGGCUAACUACGUG
rnacentral:rRNA from 1 species